rnacentral:rRNA from 1 species
GGCUUAGAGUUUGAUCAUGGCUCAGGAUGAACGCUGGCGGCGUGCCUAACACAUGCAAGUCGAGCGAAGCGCUUAUUUCAGAUUUCUUCGGAAUGACGAAGUUUGUGACUGAGCGGCGGACGGGUGAGUAACGCGUGGGCAACCUGCCCUGUACAGGGGGAUAACAGUUAGAAAUGACUGCUAAUACCGCAUAAGCCCACAGCUUCGCAUGAAGCAGUGGGAAAAACUCCGGUGGUACAGGAUGGGCCCGCGUCUGAUUAGCUAGUUGGUAAGGUAACGGCUUACCAAGGCGACGAUCAGUAGCCGACCUGAGAGGGUGACCGGCCACAUUGGGACUGAGACACGGCCCAAACUCCUACGGGAGGCAGCAGUGGGGAAUAUUGCACAAUGGGGGAAACCCUGAUGCAGCGACGCCGCGUGAGCGAUGAAGUAUUUCGGUAUGUAAAGCUCUAUCAGCAGGGAAGAAAGUGACGGUACCUGACUAAGAAGCCCCGGCUAACUACGUGCUAGCAGCCGCGGUAAUACGUAGGGGGCAAGCGUUAUCCGGAUUUACUGGGUGUAAAGGGAGCGUAGACGGAAGUGCAAGUCUGAAGUGAAAGCCCGGGGCUCAACCCCGGGACUGCUUUGGAAACUGUAUUUCUAGAGUGCUGGAGAGGUAAGUG